AACGAACGCUGGCGGCAGGCCUAACACAUGCGAGUCGAGCGCCCUUUCGGGGGAGCGGCGGCCGGGUGAGUAACGCGUGGGAAUAUGCCCUUCUCUACGGAAUAGCCUCGGGAAACUGAGAGUAAUACCGUAUACGCCCUAUGGGGGAAAGAUUUAUCGGGGAAGGAUUAGCCCGCGUUGGAUUAGGUAGUUGGUGGGGUAAUGGCCUACCAAGCCGACGAUCCAUAGCUGGUUUGAGAGGAUGAUCAGCCACACUGGGACUGAGACACGGCCCAGACUCCUACGGGAGGCAGCAGUGGGGAAUCUUAGACAAUGGGGGCAACCCUGAUCUAGCCAUGCCGCGUGAGUGAUGAAGGCCUUAGGGUUGUAAAGCUCUUUCAGCUGGGAAGAUAAUGACGGUACCAGCAGAAGAAGCCCCGGCUAACUCCGUG
rnacentral:rRNA from 1 species